rnacentral:rRNA from 1 species
UACAGAGGUCCCGAGCGUUGUUCGGAUUCACUGGGCGUAAAGGGUGCGUAGGUGGUCGGGUAAGUCUGAUGUGAAAUCUCCGAGCUCAACUCGGAAAUGGCAUUGGAUACUAUUCGGCUAGAGGGUUUGAGGGGGGACUGGAAUACUUGGUGUAGCAGUGAAAUGCGUAGAUAUCAAGUGGAACACCAGUGGCGAAGGCGAGUCCCUGGAAAACUCCUGACACUGAGGCACGAAAGCUAGGGGAGCAAACAGG